rnacentral:rRNA from 1 species
AACAGGAUUCUCUUAGUAACUGCGAGUGAACAGAGAUUAGCCCAACAUCGAAGCCACCAUGCAUUUGUAUGGGAGGCAAUGUGAUGUUUUGGUGUUUGAACGCACUGUCUGGCUAACUUGAAGUCCAUAUUUGACUGUGGCUUGUAUUUAUACACCCAGAGAUGGUGAUAGGCCCGUUCAGGUUGGUAUUCUGGCAUGACAGUUCAGUGUGUAAUCAUUCAUCAUAGAGUCGGAUUGCUUGAGAGUGCAGUCCAAAAUGGGUGGUAAACUCCAUCUAAGGCUAAAUACCUGUACGAGUCCGAUAGUCAACAAGUACCGUGAGGGAAAGUUGAAAAGUACUCUGAAGAGAGAGUAAAUAGUACGUGAAACCACAUGGAGGUUAAACAAAUAGAGUCAAGCUGCUUGCAUCAUAUCAUUGCAAUAUGCGCAUUUUGUUGCAUGACAUUUGCCGGGACCUGGCGUGUGAUUCUGUCUACUUGUAGGCAUUUGAACAUGUGUUUGUUGUUGAAAGGUCUCGGUGAGUGUCUGCGCUUAUUGUUCAUGAUGGGUGCUAAUGCCAUAGUCGGUUGUACUACCAGUGCGCAGUAAUCGGCGAUUGUGCGGGCUGACUUAUUGUCGUUCGUGCAAUCAGUGAAACAGUUGGCAACAGUGUGUGCUUGCAUUCGCUUUUGUCAAAGAAGGCCACGGCCUGUUGAUUACUGUGAACAUUGUGAGAGUCGACCGUUCAUAUGUGCUCAUAUAAUUUGUGGUAGUAAGUCGACUUGUCCACUACUUCCAUAAAUGAGCUUAUGAGCUAUGGUAUUGUGGUAGACUUUCUAUUUG